rnacentral:rRNA from 1 species
AAUCAACACUGGCGGCGUGCCUCAGACAUGCAAGUCGGACGAUUAAAGCUCUCUUCGGAGAGUGCAUAAAGUGGCGCACGGGUGAGUAACACGUAAGUAAUCUACCUUCGAGUGGGGAGUAACGUCCGGAACGGACGCUAAUACCGCAUAACGCAGCGGCAUCGCAAGAUGACAGUUGUUAAAGAUUUAUUCGCUUGAAGAGGAGCUUGCGGCAGAUAGUCUUGUUGGUAAGGUAACGGCUUACCAAGGCUACGAUCUGUAUCCGGUCUAAGAGGACGGUCGGACACACUGACACUGAAUAACGGGUCAGACUCCUACGGGAGGCAGCAGUC